CCACUUGGUAUGGAAAAUACACUGCCCUUGACUGCAAAGUGCUACAGAGAGCAGUGCGGACAGCCCAGUAAAUCACUGGGGCCAAGCUCUCUGCCACCCAAGACCUCUAUACCAGUCGUUGUCAGAGGAAGGCCUGAAAAAUUGGCUAAGACUCCAGCCACCCAAGCCAUAGACUGUUCACUCUGCUACCGUCCGGCAAACGACACCGGAGCAUCAGCUCUCGGACCAACAGGGUCUGAGGCAACUUCUACCGCAAAGCCAUAAGUCUGCUAAAUAGCCAGUCUGCUAAAUAGCCAGACUGCUAAAUAGCCAGUCUGCUAAAUAGCCAGACUGCUAAAUAGCCAGUCUGCUAAAUAGCCAGACUGCUAAAAAGCCAGACUGCUAAAUAGCCAGACUGCUAAAUAGUCAAUUAAUGGUACUGACCCUACGCACACUAACUAUACAUACACAUCAAAUACACACUCACUAGACUAUAUAUACACACCAUAUACACAAUCACUAGACUAUAUAUACACACCAUAUAUACACUCACUAGACUACAUACACACUCACUAGACUAUAAACACACACUCACUAGACUAUAUAUACACACACUAUAUACACAAUCACUAGAAUAUAUAUACACCCUCACUAGACUAUAUAUACACACACUAUAUACACAAUCACUAGACUAUAUAUACACACUCAUUAGACUAUAUAUACACCCUCACUAGACUAUAUACACACUCACUAGACUAUAUAUACACACACUAUAUACACACUCACUAGACUAUAUAUACACACACUAUAUACACAAUCACUAGACUAUAUAUACACACCAUAUAUACACUCACUAGACUAUAUAUACACACUCACUAGACUAUAUAUACACUCACCAGACUAUAUAUACACACUAUAUACACACUCAUUAGACUAUAAAUACACACAAUAUCAUAUACACACUCACUAGACAAUAUACACACACUCACUAGACUAUAUAUACACACUCACUAGACUAUAUAUACACACUCACUAGACUAUAUAUACACAAUCACUAGACUAUAUAUACACUCACUAGACUAUAUAUACACACUAUAUACACAAUCACUAGACUAUAUAUACACACUCACUAGACUAUAUAUACACUCACUAGAC
rnacentral:lncRNA from 1 species